GAUGAACGCUAGCUACAGGCUUAACACAUGCAAGUCGAGGGGAAACGGCAUUGAGUGCUUGCACUCUUUGGACGUCGACCGGCGCACGGGUGAGUAACGCGUAUCCAACCUUCCCAUUACUGUGGGAUAACCUGCCGAAAGGCAGACUAAUACCGCAUAGUCUUCGAUGACGGCAUCAGAUUUGAAGUAAAGAUUUAUCGGUAAUGGAUGGGGAUGCGUCUGAUUAGCUUGUUGGCGGGGUAACGGCCCACCAAGGCUACGAUCAGUAGGGGUUCUGAGAGGAAGGUCCCCCACAUUGGAACUGAGACAAGGUCCAAACUCAUACGGGAGGCAGCAGUGAGGAAUAUUGGUCAAUGGACGGAAGUCUGAACCAGCCAAGUAGCGUGCAGGAUGACGGCCCUAUGGGUUGUAAACUGCUUUUGUAUGGGGAUAAAGUUAGGGACGUGUCCCUAUUUGCAGGUACCAUACGAAUAAGGACCGGCUAAUUCCGUG
rnacentral:rRNA from 1 species